rnacentral:lncRNA from 1 species
UUGUAUAUUGAAAAGUCAAGAAAUGGAAGUAGUCAACAAGUAAUAGUCAACAAAGUAAUGGAAAUGUGAAGCAAAACCCACACCCACGUUUUUUGCCUCCUACUCUACAUCAACUUGCAGCCAACUCUUUCAAAAACCACUCAAGUACACUAAUACAAGAUAUUUGUUUCUCAUAUAUAUACAUGUGUAUGUAAUGUGUGUUAGUUAGUGAGAAUAGAAGAGACUAAGAGAGAUUCAUAUGUUAUAGUGAAUUUUCCUUUGUAAAACCACACCCUCUCAAUCUUCAUCCUAGGAGAUAACCAAAAACAUCAAGAUCAACAACAACCAAAAAUGAAGAACAUCAUCAACUAUCUUCAUCUUCUUCAUUCAAACUCAAGGUGUUCAUCUUCAACCCAUCAAACAUCAUCAUCUUCAUAAACUUUCACCACCUUAUAUCAACCUCAUUCCAACCUCCAAACAACCUCAAAAUACUCUCCUAACACCCUCCAAAUACCAUCCUUAAACCUCCUCCAAAAAACCCUUUCAAAUAACCACAACCAUCACCACCUUGCUGUUUUUCGACAUCAGAAUCUUCAAGUCAAAAACAAAGAAAACUGGGCUCGUUACAAGCACAAAAAGACUAGGGAGAUUUUCACCAUCAAUUCUUCAGGACAUUACCUACAUCUAGAAAUUUUCGUGGACGAUUUUGACCACGGGAAACCCCAAAGAGACGCGAGAGAGAAUUGGCUAUCCAGAGAGAUUUCUGUUUUUGAGUUCAGAAUCUUCAUGUUAGAAAACAAAAAAGCGAGAACAACACAGCCAAAAUACUACUAGGGAGAUUUUCACCAUCAAUUCUUCAGGACAUUACCUACAUCUAGAAAUUUUCGUGGACGAUUUUGACCACGGGAAACCCCAAAGAGACGCGAGAGAGAAUUGGCUAUCCAGAGAGAUUUACUCCGAAAAUCUACAUCCAUCACCACCCAAAGCUCCUUCAACUUCACCAUCUUUGCUGCCUUACACCACCAAAAUUACAACCUUAUUCC